rnacentral:rRNA from 1 species
UACGUAGGGGGCAAGCGUUUGUCCGGAUUCAUUGGGCGUAAAGAGCUCGUAGGCGGUCUGUCGCGUCGGCUGUGAAAUCCCGGAGCUCAACUCCGGGUCUGCAGUCGAUACGGGCAAACUGGAGUACUGCAGGGGAGACUGGAAUUCCUGGUGUAGCGGUGAAAAUGCGCCAGAUAUCAGGAGGGAACACCGGUGGGCGAA